ensembl:lncRNA
CUCCUCUCGGCUCAGCAGCGCUUCGUCGCGGCUUCUCUCUCGUGCCCUGCGCGCUCCGGACUCCGGUAUUCAAACUUUCCUCAGAGGAGAGACGGACGGUUCAACGUCCCGCAGGUGGAGCAAAACUAACGACUCUAACCGACCCGGUUCCGUUGUUUGGACCCUGACGUGGGAUUCGUUACAUGCCUUCUGGCUCCUGCGCGGUGCGGGACGCGGUCUCGGUGCGCACCGGACCAAAAAUGGACCGCGGAACGCGUCCGCUCUGGUUCCGUGGCGAUAAGACCAACUGAAAGGAAUCCGGCACCGAAGAGGACCGACCGGAGCACCGCGCACGUUCCCUUCUCAUCUUCUCCUCGAGUCCACGCGCCAGCCAGCGAGACGUCAGUGGAGACUCGAGGACACGGACAUACUGUAGCGGACACCCAAGAAGGACGUAGCUUCGGGGGGGACAGACGUCACAAACCGCCAGGACGCGCGAGGAACAGUCAGACGUGCACGCAGGGAACGAAACGCGGCGCUUCAACAUGGAGCCGACGGUCCCCAAUGAAGACCUCUCGGGUGGUUCUGCAGAACCAAAGCAGCUGGUUACGGGAG